UCUGAAAGGACUCAGCCUCGAACGAGAGAACGCCGACAGUAAGAGGAUUCUUGCCCUGAUGCUUACCUGAGCAUCUCUGAAUUUGUUCUCCAGCCCACUGGCCUGGCUGCCCUGGAGCAGAGGGACACGGGGACUCAGCUCAGACCAUAAACCAGUAGGAUUAACCCCCAUGUCAAUACCUGCUUGUUGUCAGGGAGCUGCUCGGUCGCCGGAGAGCCCUCUGAGAUGACGUAUUCCCUGCCACCUUGGCCUGCUCCCCUGGGCUGCCACGUCUCCCCUUCCCUUGUUUAUAUCGAGUAACCUGAGCUCCGCGGGCCUGACCGAGGCGUGUGAGUUCUGACACGGCCCAGAGAGGCCAGGAUGGCUGCUGUCGGCCUUGUUCUCAUUACUCUGCUGAGACGGGGCCUUGAUCACAUUACCCAUCAUUCAGGCUCCCCAGGGGAUCAGCCUCUGGUUCCGAGGGCACAAGGUAAACCCGGGGAGGUCUUAGCAACGCCUAUCACUGUCGACCCCCGGGGAACUUGCCCAAUGUAAGGCAUUCGCGCUCCGUCUCCCACCGGACCCCGGGGCAGGCAGCGAGCCCGCCCCCCACCAGUGCACCUCGCGGUGCCAAAGGAAAGGCGCCUCAUGCUAUUAGCUCAAAUAAGGAAAAUCAUGCUGGGGAGAUUGAAUUUUCUGCAGAGCUGGUGAAACUCGGUGAUUUCUGAACACGUGGUGCUGGCAGGCGUGGGGACGUGGGCUGCCAGCCUGCGAUUUAUCAGCCGAUUCUGGAGUCUAUGCACAGGUUUAUUAAAUCAGCAUGAGUCCCUCUCCUGCCUUCCUUGCAAAUGUGAAUCGCGAAUCGCCAAAACCCAGAGAACACACGUGACCCAAGAGUUUCUUCUUGGGGCCUGGAGCAUCUAGAGAGCUGGGGGAAGAGUGCUGUCAGUGGGAGGUCUCCACCAGCCGGCGGAACGCCCAGGCCAGGCAGAGAGAAGCAGCUAGGUGGGGCGCCCAGAGCACAGGUGCAGGCGGGGCACAGACCGGGGCCCACCUCCGCCCUUACGGGCUCAUCCGCUCAGUCCUGCCUGUGCCAGGCAGUGGGCUGUGCAUGGGGCACUCGGCCCAGAGAAGGACUUACCCCAGGUUCAGCCCUCACAGAGCUUAUGGUCUCAUCAAAGUUUUUGGAGCGAUUGGAACUGUGUUUCUAUCACUGGCCUCACUGGAAAACGUGGGACACAUCAUUUCACUUCUCUGAACCUCAGUUUCCCCAUUCUGCCACCUACAGGCAGAAGAGUAAAUCAAAGGGACAUCAAGUCCCACACGUGGUGCCUGGCUCAUCAUUCCUGCUGAACCAGCAUCUGCCACUUCUCUGGAAAGAAGGCAGUGACGAGUGACAUCCUACCGAAACCAGGGGGCCCUCUCCCCAUCCGAUCCCUACCAACCCUCCCGGUUAUGCCCAGACAACUGGGAGCCCGGACACCAGGCUCAGCCCCCUGGAGGCGGUGUGCUGGCACCCACGCAGCUCCGGCUGGAGAGAGCAGUUCUGCCCUGGGGCACCUGCCCAGGACUCCUGCCCCCUGGAGCCUCAGUUUCAGGCCAUCCUUCCUGGCAAUCUACAGCAGCACUUCUUUCUCCCUCAGUCUUUUGGCCAGUAGGUCCUGAGCACACUCUCAGCCUCCAGCCGUCGCCUCUCUACAAAAUGACCAAGAUGGCAACGAGAAGCUUCCUCGCUGCAGCCAGGGCGUCCGGCCACCCUGGCCCACCUUCCGCAGGUCGAGGGCCAAAGACCCAAGAUUUCCCUUUAAUGCCCCCGCUGGGUCGCCUACUCCCCAGCAAACUUCGCUCCUGGACUCUUGGACUUUCAGUCCCAGGCUCCCCGGACCAUCACCUCUGGGGCACAGAGCUCUUAGUCUCGGCCUGGGAGCAGGUGGAUUCACUCCUCCCCAUGGGACCUGAAGAGAGUGAGCCUAUCAAAGCCAGAGCCCUCCCCGCCCCCGCUGGAGAACUAGACGGCACUCCGUCUAUGGAGGGUGCAUCGCCGUGGCUGCUCUCACCUUCUGAGAUGGCCCACACGCCGUCUCGAUAAAUCUACUUCUCACCCACCGCUUUGCCUCCCACUGAAUUCCUUCGGCGCUGAGACAUAAAGAAAGUGAACGUCACGAAGUCCUGAGAGCAGGUGUGUGAUGUGAAUCAAAAGACAGUGAUUUCAAGCCUCGUCCAGGCUUCAGGUUCCCAGAAGAUUCUGCCUCAACACUCCAAGACCGUGUUGGACACGGCCAUGACCUUCCUGCUUCACCCCUGGCACGCUGACAGCCAUGUUUUAUAUUGCCUUUCCUCCCAGUGACCCUGGAGCAAUAAUCAAGGGGCUAUCUUUUUUUGUUUGUUUGUUUGUUUUUAGCUAUGCCCAUGGCAUCCGGAAGUUCCCAGGCCAGGGAUCGAACCCAUGGCACAGCAGCGACAAUGCUGGAUCCUUAACCUGCUGGGCCACUGAGAAAACGCCUCAAUGGGCUAUCAUUGACCCAGGAGUUGGGCCAAAAUGAUUUCCUGCCCUGGAACUCGGAAUGAGAAAAUCCCAAGAGCACUGCAAUAAAGCAGCAGUUCCAGUGGGAAAAUCCUGCCAUGUCCCAGAGCUGGCUCUUCCGAAGUUGAGAGACAGAAGCCAGGAGAAGAGGAGAGGGUGAGACCCACCCCCCCCGCCACCACCAUUGGGUGGAGAGAGGCCAGCCGAGGGGAGCAGCAGAGCCAACAUCCGCCCUGGGGUCCAGAGCCUCUGUGAUCCAGAAGUUGCCUCCUACAGCCUAGACUGAGUUGCGAGUUUGCUCUUGGGCCACAGGGACACUGAAAUCCACAGAGACUGCAUCAACUGUGUCUACAUGGAUUCAUGUCCUUGAACCCUAGAGAGCCACCAGCGGGGAAGGAAGUGGGCAGAGCACAGCCAAGCCAUGCAGCAGGAAGAGGUUUCUGGAACCUGGCCCAGCAUUGUAACCCUCUGGAGAGCUUCAGAACUGCAGGUGUCCAGAUCCCAACCAAGGGCAUCUGAUUGAACAGGUCUGGGGGCUGUGCGUCCACUGUGUCACAAAGUUCGCCAGGCGAUCAGGAUGCUGGACUUGGUUUAAGAACCACUCAUUUGGGCCCUAUACCUCUUGUCUCACAAAAACAGCAUCUCCAGCAUCCGGAUGGCCAAAGAUAGGGUUUGGGGAGCAGUGUCAUUUUCUGGGAAGUUCUUCAUCAGUCUGACAAAACCUGUACUCUUCUCUCUUGGGGCUCAAAUGCCACCCAGCCUCCUCCAGGAAGCCUACCCAUCUUAAAUGAACUCCUACCUGAGCCCCACCUUCCCCGCAUGCUGCCAUCCAUGUCCCCGUGGUUUGUGGUCUAUACCACAUGGAGAACCUUUGUCCCUGGGGAGUUCCUAGCCCCCUGGGAUCGGCCUUUGUCCUCUAAGAUGAAGCGCCAGCUCUGGGCCUCCACUGAGCACCCACUCUAGGCUCAGACCUGGAUGUGGGCUGCGUGGGUGGGGCUGGCCAUGGGAGAGGGGCCAACUCCUUGCUGACCCUGGGGAACAACGGUGGCCCCUCUGGCCAGGUACCCUGGUGGAGGGGAGGCAGGCCCCAGAGAUCUUCACUGGCAGACACAAGACACAGUGGAAAGCUGAGCUGGGACCCCUUGAUUCAGUCCAGACCGCAGGACCAUUCCAGCAAAGCCUUCAUACCUCUUCUUAAGUAAUGGCGCCCAGAAAGGCAGGUGUGGGGGUGCAGGAGUUGGGAGAAGAAGAGGGAGAGAGGCAGCUUUCUGAAGCACCUUCCAACCCCGGCGGGAGGCGGGCUCCCGCAAAAGCCCGGCCCCAGUGCCAGAUCUUGCCCUGGGCCGCCACGGGCCUGAGCAAUUGGUGCAGCUGGAAGUGUGCAGGCGUGGAGAAGGCCCCACUGUGAAAAAUGUGCAUUUGAUCAAGGCUGAAAACAUGGUGUAACAUGAGUUCUCCUGAUCUAUUGGAUUUCUGCAAAAGAGCCCUGAACUCCUCACUCAAGUUCAACCUCAGGUCUCGGGAAAAAUGAGUUUGUUAAUUCAAGCAAUUCCCCCGUGGUUAGUAGUUUCUGCCACAUGCUUUGAAACAACGCGGCCUGAGUCAGGGGAGAAUUGAACGAUUUCCUAGGGGAGAGCCAAGGCCUAUCUGUUAACCUUGACAGGCUCUGCAGCCGCCUGCACGGGCCUGCCCAGCCCUCGGAGCCCCCUCCCUUGAGGCUCGCACAAGGGUUCGAACCCCACAGCUCACACAGCCACAUGGAGCAGCUCCCCUUAUUCAGAGAACGGCUGGCCUCUCUGCACUCCCAUCCUGCAGGCUGGAGAGCUGGCGUCUACUGUCACUUGCCUCUCCAAGAAGACUGUGCUUGGAGUUGGGAGCAGGGGGCAUCUGGACCCUCUGACCAAACAGACCCAGAGAGCUCGUGCUGGCCAGUGUGGACAGGUGGCAGGGUCAGCCCUGCUGUGGGUCGGUCUCAGGCCCACUGUGGCAAAGGUCUUUUGAAGAGAUGACUAGUCAUCGCUAGACUACCUGGGAAACGCCACUCUAAUACUUACUGGGCAUCUGUUUCAUGCCAGGCUCCAUUCUAAGCCAUAGACACCUCCUAGGUGUGGACCUGGGAGAAUGUGCAGAGGGGACAGUCACAGGACAAUGAUCAACACACAUCAACAGCCUUCCACAGGUGUCAAUUCUCACCGCCUCUGCCAAGGUCGGCGCAGACGAGUCAGCUGAAGCAGGGACCAGUCGUUUGCCCAAGGCCACCCAGCUGGUAAGCAGCUGUAUGGGCAUUUAGAGGCAGGCAAUCGGGCUCCAGAACCUUUGCCCUUCACCACCACUGGAUCACUGUUCUUAUCAUCAUUCUCAUGAAAGCACUGCCCUCCCUUCUGAUCUGUCACAUGCAGGCACAUCCUAGCACCCAGGAAGUGGUAUCCUUAGGGCGACCCCGGGGUCUGAACCCAGGGCUCAAGCUGCUAGCUCCCCUACUCUGCCUCGGUGGACCUCUCAACUCCUAACUCCCUCACUUUAAGAUGGAAAUGAUGCGUACUCAGAGGGUUCUUGAGAUAAUGACACGAACGAGUGAAUAUUAAAGGGCUUAGCCCUUUGCAGUACCUGCAAAUAAAAGGCUGG
rnacentral:lncRNA from 1 species